GAGGGGAAAAAUUUUGGAGGGUCUGGACUCUGAGGGAACAUGAAAAGGUGUUGAAUAACCAUCAUGUUUACACAACAGCCAAAAGUUUCUCACUUGUGCAAUCUCAUUACAAGUUUCACACUAUAAACUUUGUAUUGAUUACCUAGAAAUAGGGUAACUGUUGCUGUCCACUUAGAAACAACAAGCACUGAGCAAUCAAUAUAAACA
rnacentral:misc_RNA from 1 species